rnacentral:lncRNA from 1 species
AUCCUAUUCUUGUUAGUAUGACCUAGCCUACAAUAUCAAAGAUAGGCAUCUGAGACAUCAUCUAUCCUAGGGCAUUUGUUUGACAUGUACAUUAUACUAGACCGUGAUACAACAUAAAUUUUAUUUUUUAAUUAUCCAUGUAUUACAGUAACAUCAUUCAAAAUGAUAUCAUAAAAAAAAAAUUUAUUGAAAUCUUAUAAUUUUUUUUGAUCAAAAGGUCUACAAAAAUUACAUUCAAUA